CCCUUAGAUGUCCGGGGCCGCACGCGCGCUACACUGAAGGAAUCAGCGUGGCUUUCUCCCUGACCCGAAAGGGUUGGGAAACCCGUUGAAUCUCCUUCGUGAUAGGGAUGGGGGCUUGAAAUUGUUCCCCAUGAACGAGGAAUUCCCAGUAAGCGCGAGUCAUAAGCUCGCGUUGAUUACGUCCCUGCCCUUUGUACACACCGCCCGUCGCUACUACCGAUUGAACGGUUUAGUGAGGGCCUCGGAUUGGUCUCGGCCCGCUCUUUACCGGGCGGCGCCGUUGGUCGAGAAGACGCUCGAACUUGAUCGUUUAGAGGAAGUAAAAGUCGUAACA
rnacentral:rRNA from 1 species